rnacentral:rRNA from 1 species
GUCGUCAGGACGAACGCUGGCGGCGUGCCUAACACAUGCAAGUCGAGCGAGGAGAUCCUUCGGGAUGAUCCUAGCGGCGGACGGGUGAGUAACACGUGGGCAACCUGCCUCAUAGAGAGGAAUAGCCUUCCGAAAGGGAGAUUAAUACCUCAUAACAUUGCAGUUUCGCAUGGAACAGCAAUUAAAGGAGUAAUCCGCUAUGAGAUGGGCCCGCGGCGCAUUAGCUAGUUGGUGAGGUAACGGCUCACCAAGGCGACGAUGCGUAGCCGACCUGAGAGGGUGAUCGGCCACAUUGGGACUGAGACACGGCCCAGACUCCUACGGGAGGCAGCAGUGGGAAUAUUGCACAAUGGGGGAAACCCUGAUGCAGCCAACGCCGCGUGAGUGAUGACGGCCUUCGGGUUGUAAAGCUCUGUCUUCAGGGACGAUAAUGACGGUACCUGAGGAGGAAGCCACGGCUAACUACGUGCCAGCAGCAGC